AUCUUUGCGCUUGGGGCAAUACGAUAGUGUGUGAAGCUUAUGCUGAUGCAUCGUGAUUGCUAGUUGAAAACUAAUCCAACCCCCGUGAGCACGCCCACUGGGCGGGCUUCAAUUUAUGAUAUCCCCUCCGGGA
rfam:Saprolegnia parasitica CBS 223.65 unplaced genomic scaffold supercont2.46, whole genome shotgun sequence.